CUCAUUCUCGUUCCUGCUGCCUUGUGAAGAGGUGUCUUCUGCUAUGAUUGUCCAGGAAUACAAAUGCUGAUGUGAUGCUAUUCAGAUCCUUAAGGUAAGGCAAAAUUCUGAUUGGAGCAGAACACUUCAGAAGUAUUUUUCAACGUAUACUGAGAAGUUGCUCUGCGACAGAUGAUAUGCCAAGCAGCUGGGAAGCAAAGAUGAGGAAGACAUGACCCUGUCCUGGAAAAGCUUCUUGACUUGAAGGUAAUAAUGAGAGUGGUGGAGCAGGAGGUCAGAAAGCAAAGACCCAGUGAUUUGAACAGAGGCAAAAGCCAUGAACAAAAAAAUUGGAGAAGUCAGAGAAAGAAAUUGAAGUUGGAGUUGACCCAAAGUUUGUCUUAUUGGAUUAAUGACUAAGCGAGUUAAACUAGCAAAGCUAAGGAAGUUGAUGGUGUGUCUUAGGAAAUCACUGAUUUCUAGCCAAAGUUCAUGGUUUUCUGUUAUGGGCUGGUGGGAUCAGUGGAAACUGAAUGGUGGAAUUGCCUGGAUGGGAGAAGUAGAAACACAAUAGGAUGGAUUCAGUUUGUAUCUUUAAGUGGCCUUUAAAAUAUUUUUCCAUUUUUUUUUUAAAGCAAGGUGGGUGGUAUGACAUUAUUAGAAGGACAGGCAGAUGGUGUCACUAAUUUGGAUUGUUUCCCAAAUGGUGCCUCUUGGCUCUGCUUCUUGGAUUUUGGAUGGUGUUCUGUGUGUCUUGGCUGGCCAGCAGCGUCUUCAGGUAAUAAGGUGGAAGGGAGGCUCAGCAGUGAGCUAGAAGUGGAAGCCCUUGUUGCUGUGGAAUAGGGGAAAUAUGUGUAAUUAGCAUCCUGAAAGUGGGAUUUGAGCCAAGCUAAUUAUGAGUUCUGCAAACUGCAAGUUCUGGAUGUCCCUGCAGAACUAAGCUGUGUAUUACAUUAGGAAAUUUUCAUGGGCCAACUGAGUUUCUACUGAAGGCAUAGCUAAAGGCCCUGUGGUGGACACCUUACCUCCUGGGAGCUCUUGCUUUCCUCUAUUAGUGUUGUGGUGUCCUGGUGUAUUCGUGUGCAUGUGUGUGUGUGUGUAGCUCUUUUAAUACAGGAUUUCCUGUGUUGAAAGAAUCCCCAUAGGUCCUCCUCAUCUCCCACUGAGAAUCUUAUAAUAGUCUCCUAAUUAAUGUAUUUCUAGUUCCAGCCUCACUUCUCUGCCUGAAAAACUUCCUUUGUUAUAUUCUGUGGAACAGUCCACUGGUGAUAAAUUAUCUUAGUUUUAGUCUGAUUUUUUUUAAAUGUCAUCUUUAUUUUUUAUGUAUAGAAUUCCAUGUUGGAAGUUUUCUCUUAGCACUUUCUAGUGCUUUCUAUUGUUUUGUUUAGAAAUCAGUCCUAGGGAAUGAAUUACUUCUCCUUUUAAGAUAAUAUGUCAAUAUUUUUUUUCCUGUGACUGCUUUUAAGAAUUCAUCUUUGUCUUUCGUUUACAACAGUUUUACAGUUACAUACCUAGGUAUGCUUCUCUUUGUAUUGAUAUAGUUUGUAGUUUGUAGGGUUUCUUGAAACUGUGGCUUACUUUUUAAAAAUCAUUUGUAUCCAGUUCUUCCUCUCCCCUCCCCUACUUUUUUUCUUGGACUUCAAUACAUACAUGUUACACUGUUGUCCUGUAAGCUUGAUAUUUAUUGUAUUAUUUUUCUGUUCUUGUCUCUCAAUGCUUCAAACUGUGUGCUUUUAUGUCUUAUUUUCCACUUCACUUGUUCUCUUUUCAACUCUGUCUAAUGUGCUAUGAAACAAUUCACUAUUGUUAUUAAUUUAAAAAUGCUAGCAUUUUUAAUUGGCUCUUAUUUAUUACUUUUAGUUUACCACAACCAAUCUCAGUUUCUUUUUUUUUUGAGACAGAGUCUCGCUCUGUUGCCAGGUUGGAGUGCAGUGGCAUGAUCUCAGCUCACUGCAAUCUCCACCUCCUGGGUUCAAGCGAUUCUCCUGCUUCAGCCUCCCAAGUAGCCAGGACUACAGGUGUGUACCACCAUGCCCAGCUAAUUUUUGUAUUUUUGGUAGAGAUGGGGUUUCACCAUGUUGGCCAGGAUGGUCUGGAUCUCUUGACCUCAUGAUCCACCUGCCUUGGCCUCUCAAAGUGCUGGGAUUACAGGCGUGAGCCACUGUGCCCAGCCAGUCUUUUUUUUUUUUUUUUUUUGUAAAACAGGGUCUCACUUUGUCACCCAGGCUGGAGUGCAGUGGUGCAAUCAUGGCUCACUGUAGCCUUGACUUAACUGGGCACUAGCUAUCCUUUUACCUCACUCUCCCAAGUAGCUGGAACUACAGGUGUGUGCCACCACACCUGGCUAAUUGUUUUUUUUUUUUUUUUUUUUUUUUGUAGGGGCAAUCUCCCAAUGUGCCUAAACUGGUCUCGAACUCCUGGGCUCAAGCUAUCUUCCAGCCUUGGCCUCUCAAAAUGCUGGGAUUACAAGUGCCUCCCACCAUGCCCAGGCAACAUCAGUCUUGUCUUUUAUUCUUUGACUAGGGUAACAAUAUUUAAAAUAUAUGUCUGAUAGCUGCAUUAUUUGGGUCUUCUUUGAGUCUGUUCAUAUUGUUUGUGUGAGUUUCUCUUAGUUUGCAGUCACAUUGCUUUGUUUGCUCAUGGACCUGGCCAUUUCUGAUUGAAUGCUGGUUAUUGUAUCUAUAAUUUGUAAUCAAUUUUAAAAUCUUAAAUAAUGGUAUCAUCCUCCAGAAAUCAUUUAUAUUGUUUCUAAAAGAAUGCUAGAGUGCUUUAGCAACUUUUCUUUUUCUUUUCUUUCUCUUUCUUUCUUUCUUUCUCUCUCUCUCUCUCUCUCUCUCUUUCUUUCUUUCUUUCUUUCUUUCUUUCUUUCUUUCUUUCUUUCUUUCUUUCUUUCUCUUUUUCUUUUUUUGAGAUGGAGUCUUGCUCUGUCGCCCAGGCUGGAGUAUGGUGGCACAAUCUUGGCUCACUGCAAGCUCCGCCCUUCAGAUUCAAGCAAUUCUCCUGCCUCAGCCCCACCAAGCAGCUGGGAUUACAGGUGCCCACCACCAUGCCUGGCUAAUUUUUGUAUUUUUAGUAGAGACGGGGUUUCACCAUGUUGGCCAGGCUGGUCUUGAACCCCUGACCUUAGGUGAUCUGCCCACCUUGGCCUCCCUAAGUGCUGGGAUUACAGGUGUGAGCCACUGCGCCCAGCCAGCAACUUUACUUUCAGCACCUCUUCUCGAAUUGGCUAAUGUGCUUGUAGAUACCUGGCCUCAAAUGCCAGGCUCAACAACCUGGGUUUAUUUCUUUAUCCAGAUAGCCCUCACUAACUUAACAUUUUGAUGCUUUUAAGCAAUUUUUUGAUUCAGUAUUUCUGGUUGAGCGAGACAGUUGGUCUACACUACUCAGUCUAUCAUUGCCAGAAGUAGAUAUAUAAAUGAUUAAUCUAAUCAUUAAUAAAAUUAAUUAUAAAUUAAUUACAAAUUACAUUAAAUUGGUGCAAAUUACAUUAAAUCCUAAAAAGUGGAGAACACAAACUUGUUAUUGGUGAAGAGGAAACUUUAAGAAACAUUUUUGGAAUAUUUCCACCUCUACUUCUAAUCAAACCAUUUACCAAUAGAGGGGUUAUAGAGGGGUUACUAGUAAUUUUGAUUAUUCUGAGAAGGUGUAUACAUGAAUAUGAAUUAUUGUAUUUAUCCAUCCCUUAGGUGCUCUUUCUUGCUAUAUGUGAUUUUCUUGACAAAACUGUAUCUCCAGUCCUAAUUACAAAAAUGUUUUUGAUUACUUAUUGAUGACAUUUCUGUCUCAAAGUAAUAUUUGUGAAUUAAGAUGACUUCAUUAGUUAUCGUCAAUUAUUAGAAGUACAGGGAGAGCAUUUGGCUGAAAUUUAAAUAGACCCAUGAAGUUAGUUAUUAUACUCUCUUAGAACUCCUCUUUCUACUCUGGGAGACAAGCCAUUUAAAUGACAAAGUGUUCUUGGAAGAAAAGCUCUAGACUGUCCCUGAUUGGCUACAGCCCUAUAUAUAGAGUUUAGAAAUAUGCAGACAAGACAUUGCCAACAUGGCCGAGUAAGAGAUACCAGCCAUGGCUGAAGGACUCAGAUAGGCCCACUCAAAAAGCCAUGUUUCAAGGCGGUGCAAUACAAUUCUUGAGAGAAAAAUCACAUGUACAUACAGAGAAUUGCAAUAGAGUGGGCCAGAAUAAACAAUAAUUCCAACUGUAGUACAUGGCUGCACUUGACCACCCUCUGAUGCAGCACCCCAGAUUGCUUACCUCCUUAUAGAAAUGAUAAAGAAGAUCCUGAUGGAUGGACGUCCAAGACUCUCUACUGUGGAAUCCUCUUCUAGGCUGAAUAUUUGGAGAAGAAAGUGUUUCUUUAUGAUGGAGAACCAUGUGAAAACUGAAGGUCUGACAGCAGACGAUGGAAAGUCCAAGGAAUUGGCAUUAGAAAGAGAAAAUAAUGCACUCUCAAGGGACGUUAGUGGUUCAAGGUAGGCCAUACCCUUUGGCACAGAGAGGCAUUGCACAGUGACUUAAUAUGAGUAGAACAAUGGCUGAACAAUGGUGCAGAAACACAGAGUUUUAGCCAAAAGAGAAGGAUGGUAGAGCCACAGUCACGGACUUGCAUUCUGUGUGAAGCAGAGCCCUCUUUACCCACUGGGGAUUCUUAGACUGACAUAAAAAAGAAAGGAUGAAAGCAUUCCUAUUUCUCCAUAGCCUCACCAGCAUCUGUUGUUUCUUGACUUUUUAAUAAUUGCCAGCCUGACUGGCAUGAGAUGGUAUCUCAUUGUGGUUUUGAUGUGUAUUUCUCUAAUGAUCAAUGAUGUCGAGCUUUUUUCAUGUUUGUUGACCACAUAAAUGUCUUCUUUUGAGAAGUGUCUGUUCAUAUCCUUUGCCCACUUUUUAACUGGGUUGUUUUCUCUAGUAGUUUUUUGAAUAUGAAUUAUUCUGUUAUAAAGAUAUAUGCACGUGUAUGUUCAUUGCAACACUGUUCACAAUAGCAAGGACACAGAAUCAACCCAAAUGCCCAUCAAUGAUAAACUGGAUAAAGAAAAUGUAAUACAUAUACAUCACGGAAUACUAUGCAGCCAUAAAAAUAAUAAGAUCAUGUCCUUUGCAGGGACAUGGAUGGAGUUCAAAGCCAUUAUCCUCAGCAAACUAAUGCAGGAACAGAAAACCAAACACUGCAGGUUCUCACUUAUAAGCGGGAGCUGAACAAUGAGAACAUAAACACAAGGAGGGGAAACAACAUACACUGGGGCCUGCCGGGGGAAGGUUGGGGGAGAGAGAGCAUUAGGAUAAAUAACUAAUUCAUGCUGGGCUUAAUACCUAGGUGAUGGGUUUGAUAGGUACAGCAAACCACCAUGGCACACAUUUACCUACGUAACAAACCUGGAUGCCCUGCACAUAUUCCCAUAACUUAAAAUAAAAUUAAAUAAGCAUGAGGUUCGUUAGUUCAGCUUUAAUUAUUUGAGGCCUUUAAUUAUGACCUGAUAUUGGGCAGAGCCUGGGGAAUAUUAUUGUUACAAGUAAACAUCCCUGAGGACGGUCAGAUACAGGGGAGGGUAAUCCUGGGCGAAGUCUGGGUUUUUUGCAAACCAAAUAAGUGGUGAUUCAAAACAUCUAUGAAUAUUGGCCAAAGAAGCUCGAACCCUUUAUGGUACAGGAGAAUAUUAAAAUGAAAAUAAUCAAUUUGAAAGAUACUUCAGCCAGUUUUAGCUCCUGCAAAUGUGUCGAAUACAGACAAUUCACUGUGACUUUCAAUCUGUCUUCUAUAAGUAGCUUCUUUAAUUUCCAUGAGCUGUUGUUCAUUAGAGGAGGAGAUUAUUGACAUUUAGAGUUUUCUCAAGGAUCAGAUUUUUGUUUGACUACUUAGAUGCUCUCUCUUCUGAGUAAAAUGUAUAUUGGUAAACCUUUGUGAGUUGAGAAAUUUAUAUAGCCCUUUUGGUAAGAAAUUGCACAUGUGGGUGUACGUUUGUUCUGUUUUCUCCAGUGGGUGUGAGGUCAUAGCAAGUGACCAAAGGCCACUGGAAUGGCUCAUCCAUAGGGUCAAAGGACUGAGGUCUAUGCAGGAAGUAUUCUUUCUGGGAUGUGGAAAGGAACCUAUUACCUAUUGGCUGUCUGUAACCUAUCUUGAUCUUCUCAAAUCUUGUUGUUAUUAUCAGUGACACAAGCAGAUAUUUAUAUAGAACACCACACAUUUUGCAGGUAAAAUUGGAACUCCCCUUUUUAUGCCUCAGAAAGUGCGUGCUGAUAAAUCACUAACUUACUUUAUUCUUUAAUUAUAAAGAAUAUGCCUGAAACAUACAGUGCUUCAGCCCUAGAUACAGAAGUCAGACAAUGAUAUAUUCAUGACAGAUUUAAGGGGUGAAGCUGAGGAGUGAAACCACCAAGAUGAUGACCAGUAGCUUCUGGGGCACAACACCCAUGGGGCCAGGAAGAGCAGUAUGGAGAGCUGACAGGCUAAAUGCUAAAGACGGGGUAGUGUUGUGUCCCACAAGGCUCUGGAGUUACCUGGGUCACGACUCCACUGCUGCUGCUUAUGAACUCUUACGCUUAUUGCAAAGCAUUUCAAUUCUGCAAGCCUUAGUUCCCUGAUUUGCAACAUUGGGAUAGUAUUAGGACUUUUGUGUUAUUAUUAAAUAGUAUAUCCAAAGUGCUUAUCUACCACAUAGAAUGAUUUAUAUAAUAACAAUAGCAAAUAGUUACUUUGAUUAAUUUUUAGGGAAGUCUUUAUGUUAAUCUUCUAAGAAGUAAAGAGAAAUGUCAAUCAUCCUUAUAUAAGUAUCUCAGGAUAAGGAAUAAGGAGAAAGAAAUUGUGUGAGGGAAGUCAUUCUGGAUAAGAUCAAUAUGUUGAUGUGUAUUACAUGAUCUAUAAGGAAUAGAAUAUCAGAAUAUUUUGGUGGAAUUUUGAGUCAGAACAAGAACCUGUUCACUUCUUACAGACAAUUACUAUCCUGGAGAAAAAUUAUGGUGAUAAAGAUAAAUAACAUGUAGGCGGUGACCAAGAAGCACCUAGGGAUGUGCCAAAUUAUUCCACUGUUUCAAAUAAAAAAUGGUAGAUGUAAUAGAUGACCCCUGGUAAAAGCAGAUGAUCUGAAAAUGCAUUAUGAAAGAAUAAGGUUUCCCCAAAGGUGCUAAGAAUUAAUGCUCUUGAAUAUUUUCUUUUCUUGAUGCAACCAUAUUUGUAAAUGUAAAUAGUUUCUUAUUUUGUAAAAACUGAGCAAAAAAUGUGUUUACCAACAAACAUUUGCAUGAGGUGAGGCUAGGGUUUUCACUGCACGGCAGGAUACAGCAUCUGCUCUGAAGAAACAUGUAGGGAACGUAAGUCAUUUCACACCCAACAGGACAUUGCUGUGGAGCUAUACUUAUCUGAUAAAGCCAUAAACAUAACCAGAUGAGGAAUGCCAUUUUCAUGCAUGGAAACACAAUCUAACUUCAUACUAAUUCACAGUUUGCAUGUCAUCUGUUUUCUGAUUUGGAGUUUUGUCCAAAAGCAAUACAAUUUUGAUAUGACCAUAUUUUAAAGGCAUGAGAACAUCCAUCUGGGACAGUUUUUAUGAUUUUCAUCCUGCAACAUGGAAUAGAAUGUCUGAUAAUAGAAGACACUAUAUUGAUAUGUGGUCAUUUUGCUGUAAAAGACCAUCUGCCUACCUCUGUACAACAUGGUUGAAGAAGCAUAAAGUGAAGACUCAAAUCCCUUUACACUCUUGAAGACCAGAUGCCUUUAUGACAUGACUGAUGGGUGGGGUAAAUUCAUCCCAGUUCCCAUCCGGUGGGUAGACACUAGGUAAUAGGCAAAAGAGCCAGCUGCCAAGAAUCCAAAGCACCAUUGCAUUUUAGAAUUUCUGCGUAGCAUUUUAUUCAAAUUCAGCAGGAAGCUGAAACUUUUUAGACUAAUGAUUUUAUGAAGAACCUUAGAGAAAUGUGACUGUCAGAAAAUGUAGCUGUUUGGUAUGUUACACUAACUAUGGCUAACUCUUUAAAAAUGCUAUAUUGAAUUUUGGAAUAAGUUCAAUGCUUCUUUUCUUGGAAAAGCAUGGACUUGGUGUUAAAUGUAAUGCAGUGGACCAAGAGUUCAAGAGUGAACCACUUUAAUCCUGCUUCCAGAGAUGGUGUGCUCUGUAACCUUGGGCAAUAUAUUUAACCCGCAUAGGGAAAAGGAAAAGUGUUCUAAAGCAGUUCCCUCCAAGACAGAAUAAUUUUACAAUGCUUGACAGGGCAUUGGGUGCAAUGAAAAUUAAAAAUAACAAUGACUGUUCUUCAAAGACAUUGCUGAAGUGUUUUAAUAUCCUGUCCAAUUAGAGAAAAUAUGAGAAAUGAGCCUCUCUGAUUCUCACGUUUGGCUGGAAAUCUUGGCUGGCUAUGGGGACAAUCUGUUACUGCUGGCUGUUGCUCUGGGGGUGGGUUAAUGCCAGCCAUUCAGAUGCUCACUAAAAUCUGUAUUCUUGUGGAAUGGUGAUUUUCUGCUUCCAGUGAUCAGCUUGUGACUCUUUGUAGCACAAGCAAAAAAGCCUCAUUUUCAACCCUUCGGCCUUCUUGGAGUUUUGGGCCUGCAGCUCAGACUCCCUGUACUUCUUGAAGCUCAUUAGUCAGUUCACAGCCAUCUGUCUUUGUACCAUUAACCCACCGAUUGGACACUCCACAGUUGUUUUCUGUGUCUGUUCUGGUAAAUUAUGUGCCACAGCUGUUAUGCACUCUGAGGUACAUGCUGUUCUAAUGACAGCUCCUUCAGAAAAGAUCUGGAUGGAGAAUACCUCUGUGUGAAUCUGAAGCUGUGGAAGUUUGGUCCUUGGCUGGGAGGGGCAUGGAGGGAGGGUUUGAAUAAGGGCAAUCCUUGAUUUUGCUAUAGGAUGACUGUGACGAUGGAAAAGUAUCAUUCUUCAGUGACCAGUGGAUCAGAUGAGAAUACAGGGAAGCAUAAGAGAAAAUCAAAUGGAGGCUAGAGCAAUUUUCUGGCCUUGGAAGAAAAAUAAUUGCACAAAGGAGAGUGGUAACUUGCGAAUAGUUAGCAGUAAGAGUGUGAGUUUCCUCUCUUCCUUUUCUCUAACUUAAUCUGUCCAGUCCACAUUAUGGGUGAGCUCCCUAAAUGCUAUGCAUGCUGCUUGGAUAGGAUAAAAAGAAAUUGAUAAAACCUGCCUGUAGUUCCCUGGACGGCUUGAUAUGACUGGGGAUGCAGAGCUAGCAACCUUCCUAAGGAGAGAAGGCAGCCUACUGGGGGCAGGGCUCUAUUGGAUUUUUCUGUUCAUUCUCCAGACACUGUGGAAGACUUUUAGGAAGUGCUGGGGGAUGAGAGUACCUGAAGGUAGUGCUUGCUGCCUCAAGAGAGAGAAAGUGACAGUGGCUGGAUGUGAAGUAGUGAAGAGACGUAUACUCUCUCCUACUUAUUUAUGUAUUCAAUUUUUAAUAAAUAUGCAUUUAUGGAUAUGUAUUUUAUUCUGUGGGUCUUAGUACAACGUUAUUUUGCUGCUCCAAUUUCUCUAUUUUGACUAUUAGGAGCCCCUUGAGAUUGCUCCCUGUGUCUAGAAUCGACUGUAUUUUCUCUGCGUCAGUCCUGGGAUCAACCACUUCUCUAAAAGGUCCUGAUUUCCUUUAUUAGAGAAUGGAGUUUGGAAACCAAGAUCUGAGGGCCAGGUACAUUUGUUGCUGUUAAGAUAUUAUUGCUUCUUUGUCCUUUCAGUGGGCGAAACUAGGAAAUAUAUAUAUAUAUAUAUAUAUAUAUAUAUAUAUAUAUAUAUAUGUAUACUAAGUCAUACAUACACAUGCAUCUGUAUUUAGUUCUGUAUCUGUCUGUGCAUGUAUUGAAAUUCAUGUUUAUACCAUUACCUCUCAUUGCAAUCCAACAAAAUUGAGUCCUUUUUCCUUUUCUUUGUAACUUCCUUCACUGUAAGAAAUUUGACUAGCAGUGCUGAUAAUAUACUUACUGAUUUAUUCAAACCUAGUAUACAUAUAAAGUAGUUUCAGUUGCUGAUUUAUGCCUCUGUGAGAAACACAUUUACUAACUAGAUUACAGUAUUUGUAUAUAGGAUUUUUGUCUUUUGGAUCUAAACUUAUUUUGAUAAUACAUUUAUUUCCUCUCAAAUUUAGUUUUCAAGAUGACCUUCUCCAGUAUCAGCUAUAGUGAGAUAAUUAUCGCAUAAAUUGACUUUUGGUGGCACAGGUUAUCACUGGAACACAGAAAUGUGCACACUGGCUACAGAUAACAAAGAUAUCUGUAAUAUGAAGGAAAAAGGUUUCACCUAUGUUUGCUUAUUCUUAAUUGGAAGUAUAUACUUUGUUAUAACUUUGUGCUUUUUUGUCCAGUAUCAGCUCAAAAAUCAAUAUUUCUUUGAAGUCUCAGAGCAACAUACUAAAUUUUUACAGGAAGCCCAUACUAUCAACACACAUUUUAGAUUUCAGUUAUAAGAUUAGUAUAUCAAAAUGACUCCAAAAUUCACUGCAACUACCCUUUUGAAUGGAACUCAUCUCCUUGGGAGUGUUUCAUAAUAAUUGAUAUUAAUCUAUACUAUAUCUCUGCAUCUAUAUUAUGUGGUAUCUUCCUAUGAGUUAUUUUUACAAUUUAUAAGCCCUAAGACGGGUUUUUUCCUAAGUGGCAUUUUUUUUCAAAUCCAAAUAAUAUACAGGCAAUUCUUGAAAAUCUGCUGAAAAUUAUAAGAACACAAUGACAUUUAUACCUAUUAAGAAGGCAAAGAUUAGGUAAUAAGAAUGAAUAAAAGCAAUUCAUUUAUUCAAUAUGUAUUGAGUCCCUACUCUAUGCUAGGUGCUGAGAAAAGAGUUGUAAUUAAAAUAAACAAAAAAACUGUCUUCAUGGAAUUCAUAUUCCAGUGGGAGAAAGAUGGGUAAUAACUAAGUAUAUAGUGUAGUAUUAUUGGAAGGCAGUAAGUGAUACAGAGCAAAGAAAGCAGGGAAGGUGGACAGGGAAAUUUAGGGCCUGGGUUGAGUUAUAAACUUAAUUAGGGUGGUCAGGGAAGUUACUGAAACAGUGACACUUGGGCAUUUGAAAGAUGGGAGGGAAGAAGCCAUGGGGAAUCUGGGCAAUCAUAAAGAUCUCAAGGUAGGAAUGUGUCUCAAGGAGCAUCACAGAGGUCAGAGUGGCUGGAGUGGAAUGAAUUAUAGGGAGUAUUAAGAGAUGAAGUGGGAAAGGCAGUGAGGUGAGGUGCAGGGGCAAACAAUGAGAAGCAGGAUGACGGGAAUGUCUUGAAGCCAUUGCCCAGCCAUAGCUUUUACUUUAUUUGCAAAGGCAAGCCACUGGAGGGUUUUGAUCAGAUGCUAGAUGUGAUCAAGAUCUUGUUAUUGCCAAAUAACUACAACUGUCCCACAAACUCGAUUGCAUGCAUCUCACUGAUUAUGAUCUCUUAUUUUCCCAAUUUACUUCAUCGAGAACCCCAACUUCAAUGAUCCUUUGAUCCUGCCAGGACCUCCAGUUCAUUGAUCUCAAUCUUUCCUUGUUCCUUAUCCCCUGAUACCCUCUCCCUACUUGUUAGUUUGGUGAAAUCCUAUGGUCAGUCAUUAUAAUCACUUAGUUGACUACAGCUGAAAGUCUCUUGCCCUUCUUUUUUACUUUCCUCUGUGGUUGCUUGGCAAAAUCACAACCUUGAUUCAGUUCAACUUUUUGCAUUCCACACCUGCACUCGUGCAACUAAAUGUAGCUGGAGGGAAAAACGCAUCUUCCUGGACUGGUCUGACUUUAAAUUAGUAAGAAUGAAUCUCAAAUGCACUCAAUGUCACCAGGCAUUUGUAAGAGGGUUUAUUGGGCUAGUCUGAUUUUAAAUCAGUGAUAAUGAACCUCAAAUGCACUCAGUGUUACCAGGCAUUUGUAAGAGGCUUUACACUCCCAGGAGUUAUCAUUCACCCUCCUUCUCUCCUAGAUGAUUUACUGUCUUCUUGUUUUGCCUUAAACUUGAAACACAUUUCCCCUAUCUUUCCCUCCUUGCUUUCUACUUUACUAAAAUGAUUCGAAAAUCAGAAGAGACCCUCCAUAGACUUUUGCAUCCAACUAUACACCACCAGUAUCUGCCACAUCUUGCAUUCUUGCCUGUAACCAGAGGUAAACUGUAAUGCUCCAAUCUAAAUCCAAAGCCAAUCUGUCUACAUUAUUGACUGGAUCCCAUUUUUCAUCACUCCUUCCAUCCCACAAAAAUCAAUCUUUUUACUCACACAACUGGGUCAUACUCAUUAAUAUGCUGGUGUUUCUUUCAUUAAAAAAUUUUAUAAAACCACCUUCCUUCAACUUCUCUUCCCUCCCCAGUCCAUUAGUUCUCUGCUUUGCAGCACAAUUCUAUAAAAACUUUGUCUCUGUUCCAGCCAGGCACGGCGGCUCAUGCUUGUAAUAUCAGCACUUUGGGAGGCCAAGGCGGGUGGAUCACCUGAGGUCGGGAGUUCAAGACCAGCCUGACCAACAUAGAGAAACCCUGUCACUACUAAAAAUACAAAAUUAGCUGGGCAUGGUGGCAUUAGAUGCCUCUAAUCCCAGCUACUCCGGAGGCUGAGGCAUGAGAAUUGCUUGAUUGCAGGAGGUGGAGGUUGCAGUGAGCUGAGAUCACACCAUUGCACUCCAGCCUGGGCAACAAGAGUGAAACUCUGUCUGAAAAACAAACAAAGCAAAACAACAAAAAAGCUUUGUUUCUGCUCGUUGACUCCAUAUUCUCUCUUCCCUUCUGACUUGGAUUUAUCUCAAUCAGGCCUUGCAUUUUUCUCAAUCACUCUAUUAAAGUUGCUCUUGUCGAGGCCUUAAGGUCAUAUUAUUUAAUUCACUGCUGAAUUCUCAGCUUCGUAUUACUUGGCCUUUCAGCAGGAUUUGUUAACAGUUGAUCAUUUACUCCUCUUCACUUGACUUCCAGGACACCGUACUCACCUGGUUGUUUUCUUAUCUUUUUGAUGGCUCUUCCUCAGGCUCCUUUGCUGAUUCCUUCUCUUUCCCUCCACCCUAAUAAUAAAGACCCCUGAGACUUAGUUCAUGAUUCUCUUCUUUAUUAAUAAUUACUUUCUUGAUCUCAGCCAUUUCAUGGCCUUAAGUACUCUCUAUAUGUCAACGACUCCCAAAUGUACAUUUUGAACACAUACCUUUCUCUCACAUCUCAUCUUCAUCCAUUAGAACAUUAUUUUGGCUCUACUUUGAGAAUAUAUUCAGCAUAUUCAUUGCUAACUACUAAUCACCACCCCUAGUACCAUCGCCUUGAUCUGUAGCCAUCAUCAUCUCCCACCUGAAUUAUUACCAUAGCCUCAGAGUUGGUCUUUUUGAUUCAAUUUCCCUACACAUUCUGUCAGCUCAGUGGACAGCAGAUGAAAUGAGAAUAGACUCUAAGAGGUGGACAGGUGGAAGCAGAGAAAUCUGAAGAGAGGUCAGAUAAAGGUGUUGAGUGAGAAUCAGAUUCUGGAAACAUUUUGAUAUUUUGAAGGCAGUUCAAUAGGAUUUGUGGAUGAGAGAAGUCAAGAGUGCCUUUGAGGUUUUUGGCCUGAGCAAUUGAAAGCAUGGAGUGUGGUGAAAGAGGUGGGAUCCCACACUGCUAAUGAAUAUUUAAAUUUUAUAAUUUUUGAAAAGCAUCAUGAAAAUCUGUAUCAUGAGCCUUUAAAUAUUCAUACUUUUUUAACCACUGGUCCUAUUUAGAUGGUU
rnacentral:lncRNA from 1 species